rnacentral:rRNA from 1 species
UAAGGAAUAUUGGUCAAUGGAGGCAACUCUGAACCAGCCAUGCCGCGUGCAGGAAGACGGCCCUCUGGGUUGUAAACUGCUUUUAUUCGGGAAUAAACCUGCUUACGUGUAAGUAGCUGAAUGUACCGAAGGAAUAAGGAUCGGCUAACUCCGUGCCAGCAGCCGCGGUAAUACGGAGGAUCCAAGCGUUAUCCGGAUUUAUUGGGUUUAAAGGGUGCGUAGGCGACUUAUUAAGUCAGGGGUGAAAGACGGUGGCUCAACCAUCGCAGUGCCCUUGAUACUGAUGAGCAUGAAUGAACUAGAGGUAGGUGGAAUGUAACAAGUAUCGGUGAAAUGUAUAGAUAUGUCACAGAACAACGAUUGCGAAGGCAGCUUACUAUGGUUUGAUUGACGCUGAGGCACGAAAGCGUGGGGAUCAAACA